CAAGUUCUGUUUACUCACUAUACUCCCAUUCUCUUUGCUAAUGACCCUUUUCAUCCUAUGCUCAUUCUACAAAAACCAUUAAUGAACUCUUCGCUUAACAUCAUUUUGGAAGUGUUUUUCCUUUGCUGGGUGUUGAUACUUCUUUCUGUAUAAUAAUGGCCAUAGAUGAUUGUUUUUACUGUAUAGAGAGAUCUUUCAGGGACCACUAUGCGCUAUGCCUGGCCUUGUAUUGAUUCUCAACAGCUUGCGACUUAUAUAAAUUCCGUCAUGUUAACGUGUUGCAUGUAAUUAUAGUUUUGUUACCUUUGUCUUUCUCUGUAAAAACCUUCAUGACUGACGUUUUCCAUUCUGUUCCAUCACCUCUGCAGGGAUAAGUGAGUAUCGCGGUGAAAUCUGGUGUGAAAUUGGAAAUACCAGAUGGAGUCGUUCUUCAGAACAAGGUAAGAUACUACACUUACAUGAUUUAUCAUAAUUAAAACAUUCUUUGUACUGGCUCGCUAUGGAGUUAUCAAGUUUUUCUGUGCCCAGGAAAUCAAUGGCUC
rnacentral:lncRNA from 1 species